UACGUAGGGUGCAAGCGUUGUCCGGAAUUAUUGGGCGUAAAGAGCUCGUAGGCGGUUUGUUGCGUCGGCUGUGAAAUCCCGAGGCUCAACCUCGGGUCUGCAGUCGAUACGAGCAAACUAGAGUGUUGCAGGGGAGACUGGAAUUCCUGGUGUAGCGGUGAAAUGCGCAGAUAUCAGGAGGAACACCGAUGGCGAAGGCAGGUCUCUGGGCAUUAACUGACGCUGAGGAGCGAAAGCAUGGGGAGCGAACAGG
rnacentral:rRNA from 1 species